UACAGAACAUAUGAAUUUUACAAGAGUGGAUAUUUCAAUUCAAUUGAGUCUUCAGAUAAAACGCCAACACAGUUAGAGAAAAAGAGGUUCGAUUUCUAUACAAAGAUACCACAAAGGAAAGUUCACAAAUUUACAUAGAAUAGACCACAAACAAACUCUCUUUCUCUGCUCUCAUUCACAUAAUAAGCAGCCGCUCACUUUCCGGGGACGAAGUUGGUGGCGAAGGCCCAAGCGUUGUUGUUGACUGGGUCGGCCAAAUGGUCGGCGAGGUUCUCCAAAGGUCCCUUUCCGGUGACGAUGGCUUGAACGAAGAAUCCAAACAUAGAGAACAUAGCCAACCUUCCGUUCUUGAGCUCCUUCACCUUCAACUCUGCGAAAGCCUCGGGGUCAGUAGCGAGGCCCAAUGGGUCGAAGCUGCCACCUGGGUAAAGCAAGUCCUCUGCUUCUCCCAAUGGACCAUCUCCGGCGACUCUGUAGCCUUCAACAGCUCCCAUGAGGAUAACUUGAGUAGCCCAAAUGGCUAAGAUGCUCUGAGCGUGGACCAAGCUCGGGUUGCCCAAGUAGUCCAAUCCUCCGUCGCUGAAGAUCUGUGAACCGGCCUUGAACCAAACCGCUUCUCCGAACUUCACUCCGUUCCUAGCCAAUAGCUCAGGGAAAACGCAGCCUAGGGCUCCGAGCAUGGCCCAUCUGCUGUGGAUAACUUCUAGCUCACGGUUCCUGGCGAAGGUCUCUGGGUCGGCGGAUAGACCAGCGGUGUCCCAUCCGUAGUCACCGGGGAACUCACCGGUAAGGUAGCUCGGGGGCUCGCCGGAGAAUGGACCCAAGUACUUGACUCGGUCAGAUCCGUACCAUGGGCUGCCUGAUGGACCCUUUGGCUUGGCGACAGUCUUCCUCAUGGUCACACGGCCGCUUCCGAGGACAUCUGAUGCGGCAGGCUUCACAGCCUUUCCGGCGAAGGCAGGGGAGGACAAAGCCAUGGUUGAGGAAGCCAUUAUAAUCUUUGUUUUUGUGUUUUCUUUUUUUUGGUUGUGACUGGUGAGAGUGAUU